rnacentral:lncRNA from 1 species
CUUGCUCACGAGGCUUUAAUACAUGGCGGCGCAGUUUUUGCGGACCGCCCACCGGCUGUUCCUACGAGAAAAAUUUUAACUAGUAAUCAGCAUAAUAUUAGUUCUUCCUUUUACGGUCCAACAUGGCGACUUCUGCGGCGUAACCUCACGGCGGAAAUCCUCCACCUAUCGCGUGUGAAAUCUUACAGUCAUGCACGCAACUGGGUUCUGAAAAUCCUCCAGAAUCGCUUCGAAUCUCAAUCGAAAGCCGGUCGUCCUGUUUGUGUAAUGGAACAUUUUCAAUAUGCCAUGUUUUGUCUACUCGUCCUGAUGUGUUUUGGAGACAAGCUUGAUGAAAAUCAGAUAAAAAAAAUCAUGGAAGUUCAGCGACAAAUGAUAGUGAAUUUUAGUAAGUUCAACAUACUCAAUUUCUGGCCAGGAGUGACAAAGAUCGUGUUGCGCAACCGUUGGAGGGAGUUGUUAUCCCAUCGAAAAUGCCAAGAAGAUGUCUUGAUUCCAUUGAUAAGAGCAAGAAAGAAGGCCAAGGAAGAGAGGGUAAAAAAAAGUGAAGAGGACAAGAAAGACUAUGAAGAUGAGUAUGUUUUGUGCUAUGUUGACACCAUACUGGCUUUGGAGCUCCCGGAAGAGAAAAGAAAGCUCACCGAAGGGGAAAUGGUCAGUCUGUGCUCUGAGUUUCUCAACGCAGGAACAGAUACUACUUCGACAGCGUUGCAGUGGAUCAUGGCAAAUCUAGUUAAGCACCCGCAAAUCCAAGAGAAGCUAUUGAUGGAGAUUAAAGGGGUUGUGCAAGAUGGUGAAGAGAAUAUAAAAGAAGAGGACUUGCAAAAGAUGCCAUAUCUAAAAGCAACAAUUCUAGAAGGGUUGAGGCGGCACCCGCCAGCCCAUUUCGUACUGCCACAUGCGGUGACUGAAGAUGUAGUGCUGGGUAAAUAUGUGGUACCAAAAGAUGGAACUAUAAAUUUUAUGGUGGCUGAGAUGGGGUGGAAUCCGGAGGUGUGGGAGGAUCCUAUGGCGUUCAAGCCUGAAAGGUUUCUAAAUAGCGGAGGGGAAACAUUUGAUAUAACAGGAAGUAGAGAGAUAACGAUGAUGCCAUUUGGGGCUGGGAGGAGAAUUUGUCCUGCUUAUGGUCUAGCAAUACUCCAUCUGGAGUACUUUGUAGCUAAUUUGAUUUGGAGAUUUGAGUGGAAAGCUGUGGAUGGAGAUGAUGUUGAUUUGACGGAGAAAGAAGAAUUCACAGUAGUGAUGAAAAAUCCAUUACAGGCUCAAAUAUGCCCACGGUUGAAAUAAAUGAUUAGGUUUAUUAUUAUUAUUAUUAUUAUUAUUAUUAUUAAAAGAUAAGGUUGAUUUUGUUUAGUUGGACGAUAGCUCUUCAUGUAAGAUGUAACUCUACUGGUUUAUCAAGUCCGAUGCUCCUAUGUUUGUGUGAUAUUUCUCCUCUUGUUUAAAUCUGAUUCCAUUAUAUCAAUAUUCUAUAGGAUGCUAAUUUCCACCAUAAUUAUUUCUGUUUAUGUUAUUCUUUGCUUGUAAAUGUUUAUUCGUUUUUCCUCAGGGUUGCAGAAGCUAGGAAAUUAAUGGAUCCCUAGUUUCUGGCAAACUUGAAGCAGUAUUCUUCCUUUAAAAGUAGAAUUAGUGGCUGCUUUUCGAGGCUUGUCUGGAUGACUCGUCCAUGUAUAGAUAGCGCUUUGAAAUGUCAAUGAUGCAAGUCUUCAAAUUACAAAGACAUUAAGCUGUGAAUGACAAGACGGUGGGCCCACGGAUGCCACGGGACCAACAGCUGUGGCUGUCUGUGGUAAAUUCCUAAUGCACUAUCAAAUAAUAUAUAUAAUAUAGAUGGAAUGCGAAAAGUUAGGGGUAUGAUUUAACUGGUUAUAUUUUAGAUUUAUUUUUUAAAAAUUAUUAAUUUAAAUUUAUAAAUUUAUAAUAUUAAAAAUUUAUAUAUUAUUAAUUUUAGAAUUUAUAAGAUUAAUUAAAUAUAUAUAAAUUUAUUUGUACAUCCAUAUAAUAAUAAUAAAUAAAAAGAUAGAUGAAAUGUGUACCUAACAUUUUAAAGGGCAAAAGAAAAUGAAUGGAAUGGAGACUCCUGAGUUGAGGAGAAAGUGAAAGGAAACAUUCUUUAAUGGAAAUUCACUCUCAAUUUUUCUGUGAUCUGUAAAGCCCAGCUAAGAGAGAAAAUAAAUAUCUCUAUAAAACAAUUGAACAGAAAAAACUAUUAUGCAUCAAGCAAAAUAUCUCCUUUUUAAUAAUAAAUGGCAUUUUUUUCGAGAGAAAAUAAUAUUUUUCCAAAUAUAGAUUAAUAUUAUAUUUAUUAGUUUUAUAUGAAUAAGUUAAAUAAAUAGCUGGAAAUUAAUUUAUACUGGUUACUAAACAUUUUAUUUUUAAUAAAUAGUUAUUUCAUCUUUGGAUAGCAUGUAAGCUAAAAUUCAAUAUAUAUGACUAGAUAAUGUUGUUGAAAACAUUAGAUAUUUUAUGAUGUGGUCCCUAUUUACAGUACCUAAUAUACCCUCUCAUGUUCCUUGUCCUCUCUUUAUCUCACCACAUUCUAAAGCCUUCUAUCUCUUUCUCAUUUUUUUUAUUCUUCAAUCUUUUUCUUUUUUCUCUUAGUUAUCUGGGUAAGGGGUUAGAAAAUAUCUUUUAAUAUUUGUUAACAAAAUGUUAGGUAUAAUAUCUUUUUUGAUGUCUCAUAUGUAAAUAACUUUACAUUUAGGUGUUUGUAUAUAUUAUAAUUGAACAAAGGUCAAGUUUAACCGUUAAACUUGGUAUGUGCAAUGUACUACAAGUAUUUAAUAAUAUUCUUUCUACAUCGUAUAUGUCUAGACUUACAUUGAUUGAAUAUUACAACUUAUACAAAUUGCAAGCAUUGAUCUUGAGAUCUCCAGUCUUAGAGCAACUUCAAUGUUCAUUUUCUAAAAAAUAUGUUAAAAAUCAGUAUCAAACAUUUUUUUUUUUCCUUUUACUCAUUCUUGGCUCAACUUAAUCAUCUUUCAAUUUAUGAUGACUAACUUGAGCUAGUUUCAAUUUAUUUUAUCCCCCCUUGCUCCUAAAAAUUCUUGAAAAUCAUUUUAGUCCUUACAUUUUAGAUAUCUUUUUUAUAUAUAUUGUAGGGAGAUCUUGGCAAGCUAAUUAGAAUUGAUAGAGAUAAAACUAGAAAAAGAAGUUACCACCUAACUCUAUAUAACUAGAAAAGAAAACCCUAACUAGUUUUUAAAAGUUCUAGAUAAGAGACUGAUUAUAUAAUAGGAAAAUAUAAUAAUUACCAUAAAAUAUUUUUUUCUAAAGUAAGCUGCUUUGCAUUUGUUUUUAAUAAAAAAAAAAUGCAUCUAUUAUGGUUAUAAUUUAUCUAAACUAUGUGUGUGUUUAUGGUAGAAGACUACUAAAACCUAAUAUAAUGACUUAAGACAUGAACCUAGCAAUAAGACUUAACCUUAAUUAUUGAAAUACAAGCAUUGGAUCUAAAAGAUAGUAAUGAUAAUUAUGCUUUGGUCUAUUUUAUUUAAUGAUAUUAAAAAAAAAACUUGAAGGCCGCCAAACACACACGUACUUACUCUGAUCAUGUUGUUCCAGCCCAAAUUCACUCAUAAAAAAGAGUUUUAUGACCUAAUCUAGUAAAACAACUAAACAAACAUCCACACAAAUUAAACAUUAAGAUUUAAUAAACAAUAAAUAUAGCCAUAUAAAUUAUACUUCGAAACCAAAGUCCAAAAUAAUAUAUACGAAACUUCUAUUACACAUUUCAACCCACAUAUGCAUAUUCACACACACACAAAAUAAUAAUAAAAAAAAAUUAACAAUUUUGUCUUUGAAUCUAAAAUGAAAUUUUCGCAAAAAAAUGGAUUGCCUCUCAUCUUUAUGCGACGCAAAUCCCAUCACAGUAUCUAGUUAUGGAAAUUCCAUGGCCAAUUAGGUCCUAUCCCAGAAGCUACAAGGAAUAUUCAAGACCUACUCUGCUGGGCAAUUUGAAGAUUUCUUGGCACUCGGUCUCGUGACAAAAACAACAUUUUAAUCAAGAGUUGCACCUCAAAUUCAUCAACGUCAAAAUCCAAAGUAAUUUAUCUCUCUGUCGUGGCUUGUGCUGCAAAUUGAAAUGCGUUGCUCUGUUCUUGACUGCCAAGAAAACUGCUUGUCGUGAACGUCACGCUCCUGUUACAAUCUAUUAGUCAAUUCAUCUUGACAAAAAAAAACUCCAUAUUGUUGACUUUUGAGACUUUAUAAUUUUCUAUCUUGAACAAAUUAAUGGUCUCUUUCUCCGAUGACAAGAUAUUCAAACAAAAAUAAUAACUAACAAAGACAGAGUAAAGUAAUCUAGAUUGAAACAAGUAAAAUGGAAUUAAUCUUAAGACACCUUUUUUUUAUAUAAUGAAACAAUCAGCUUUGAAAUCUGAAACUCUUAAUUUAAAAUAAAAUUUUAAUUUAUUUUUUACUCAAAACACCUAGAAAAUAUCCUUAGAUAUUGUUAAAUCAAUUUAUAGCCUCUAAAAACACAAAAAACCAUCCAAAAACCCAUAAUCAACCAGAAACAAAAAAUCUCCUUAAGCUAGUAUAUGUUUUUUAGACGCUUUCAUAUAUAUAUAUAUAUAUAUAUAUAUAAAACAUUAAUUUUUAAUUUUUAUUAUUAUAUGAACUAUUUAACACAAAAUUUAUUAUUUUAAUAGUCGUAAUCAUUUCUAAUAAAAACCCUUUUUACAUUGGAAUUCAACAAUCCCCUCUCUUCACCACUAAAAAUAGAUUGAAAAAAAAAAUUGAUAUCAAAAUUGAAUUUUUAAAUAUUAGAAGGACCGGUUACCGAAAAGCUAAAAAAUUAGAGGACUAAAAUGAAUUUUUAAAAAAAUUCAAAGCCACCCCUUAUUUUACUUUUAUUUUCACUUAAGUUUUUUAUCUUUUAGUUUAACCCUUCCUCUCAAAAAAAAAUAUAAUUGAAUACUAAUUUGGGUUCAAAGUGACUUAAUUUUACAAGAUAUAAAUUCAAGGAUGAAAUUAAGAGCUUUUUAAAAAUUCACUAUUAAAUUCCACAUUGAUAUACGAGAGUAUAAACAAUAAAAUAACUACGGUAAAACCAAUAUCUCUUUUAUAUAAUAAUAAUAUAACUCGAUAACUCUCUGCCACGAUUGAGGACGUCAUACAAUACGUUGUAUAAAAACAAACAAGUAGCGAUGAAUUCCACCCAUUUUGAGUCUUUGCUUUUGUCAAAAAAGAAUAAAAUAAAAUAGACGAUGUACCCUUCUAUCUACAAGAAAAAAACAAAAAAAAAGCAUCCACAAUUAGUCAGUCAAUUUGCUAGCCUAUGUAUAUACACGCGCCCUCUGAGUCCAUUCCACUGCUAAACUCAUCACUUCAUUAUUUUCAGUAUGGAAAGCUGGUUCCUUAUCCUUGUCUCCAUUUCCAUCUCUCUCUUCUUGAAAAUUAUCUUCAACAAUUCUUAACCACUAAAAACCUACCUCCAGGUCCCCUAUCCUUUCCUUUCAUCGGCCACUUACUAUGGCUCCGUAUGUCCGCCUUCAAGAUGAGCCAAUCCUUCGAUCCCUCCAUGCCAAGUUUGGCCCCAUGGUUACCCUCCGUAUUGGCACUCGCCCUGCUAUCUUCGUUGCAGAUCGCACCCUUGCUCACGAGGCUUUAAUACGUGGCGGCGCAGUUUUUGCGGACCGCCCGGCUGCUGCUACGAGAAAAUUUUUAAGUAGUACAUAAUAUUAGUUCUUCCUUUUACGGUCCAACAUGGCGACUUCUGCGGCGUAACCUCACGGCGGAAAUCCUCCACCUAUCGCGUGUGAAAUCUUACAGUCAUGCACGCAACUGGGUUCUGCAAAUCCUCCAGAAUCGCUUCGAAUCUCAAGCGAAAGCCGGUCGUCCUAUUUGUGUAAUGGAACAUUUUCAAUAUGCCAUGUUUUGUCUACUCGUCCUGAUGUGUUUUGGAGACAAGCUUGAUGAAAAUCAGAUAAAAAAAAUUAUGGAAGUUCAGCGACAAAUGAUAGUGAAUUUUAGUAAGUUCAACAUACUCAAUUUCUGGCCAGGAGUGACAAAGAUCGUGUUGCGCAACCGUUGGAGGGAGUUGUUUUCCCAUCGAAAAUGCCAAGAAGAUGUCUUGAUUCCAUUGAUAAGAGCAAGAAAGAAGGUCAAGGAAGAGAGGGUAAAAAAAAGUAAAGAGGACAAGAAAGACUAUGAAGAUGAGUAUGUUUUGUGCUAUGUUGACACCAUACUGGCUUUGGAGCUCCCGGAAGAGAAAAGAAAGCUCACCGAAGGGGAAAUGGUCAGUCUGUGCUCAGAGUUUCUCAACGCAGGAACAGAUUCUACUUCGACUGCGUUGCAAUGGAUCAUGGCAAAUCUAGUUAAGCACCCGCAAAUCCAAGAGAAGCUAUUGAUGGAGAUUAAAGGGGUUGUGCAAGAUGGUGAAGAGAAUAUAAAAGAAGAGGAAUUGCAUAAGAUGCCAUAUCUAAAAGCAACAAUUCUAGAAGGGUUAAGGAGGCACCCGCCAGGCCAUUUCGUGCUGCCACAUGCGGUGACUGAAGAUGUAGUGCUGGGUAAAUAUGUGGUACCAAGAGAUGGAACUAUACAUUUUAUGGUGGCUGAGAUGGGGUGGAAUCCGGAGGUGUGGGAGGAUCCUAUGGCGUUCAAGCCUGAAAGGUUUCUAAAUAGCGGAGGGGAAACAUUUGAUAUAACAGGAAGUAGAGAGAUAAAGAUGAUGCCAUUUGGGGCUGGGAGGAGAAUAUGUCCUGCUUAUGGUCUAGCAAUACUCCAUCUGGAGUACUUUGUAGCUAAUUUGAUUUGGAGAUUUGAGUGGAAAGCUGUGGAUGGAGAUGAUGUUGAUUUGACUGAGAAAGAAGAAUUCACAGUAGUGAUGAAAAAUCCAUUACAGGCUCAAAUAUUCCCACGGUUGAAAUAAAUGAUCAGGUUUAUUAUUAUUAUUAUAUAAAAGAUAAGAUGUAACUCUACUGGUUUAUCAAGUCGGAUGCUCCUAUGUUUGUGUGAUAUUUCUCCUCUUGUUUAAAUCUGAUUCCAUUAUAUCAAUAUUCUAUAGGAUGCUAAUUUCCACCAUAAUUAUUUCUGUUUAUGUUAUUCUUUGCUUGUAAAUGUUUAUUCGUUUUUCCUCAGGGUUGCAGAAGCUACGGAAUUAAUGGAUCCCUAGUUUCUGGCAAACUUGAAGCAGUAUUCUUCCUUUAAAAGUAGAAUUAGUGGCGCUUUUCGAGGCUUGUCUGGAUGACUCGUCCAAGUAUAGAUAGCGCUUUGAAAUGUCAAUGAUGCAAGUCUUCAAAUUACAAAGACAUUAAGCUGUGAAUGACAAGACGGUGGGCCCACGGAUGCCACGAGGGCCAACAGCUGUGGCUGUCUGUGGUAAAUUCCUAAUGCACUAUCAUAUAUAUAUAUAUAUAGAUGGAAUGCAAAAAGUUAGGGGUAUGAUUUAACUGUUAUAUUUAAUUUAUUUUUUUAAAAAUUAUUAAUUUAAAUUUUAUAAAUUUUAUAAAUUAAAAAUUUAUAUAAUUAUUAAUUUUAGAAUUUAUAAGAUUAAUUAAAAUAUAUAUAAAUUUAGAACAUUAAAAAUUUAUAUAAUUAUUAAUUUUAAAAUUUAUAAAAUUAAUUAAAAUACAUGUAAAUUAACUUGUAUAACCCUAUUAAUAAUAAUAAAAAAAAGAUAGAUGGAAUGUGUACCUAACAUUUUAAAGAGCAAAGGAAAAUGAAUGGAAUGGAGACUCCUCCUGAGUUGAGGAGAAAGUGAAAGGAAACAACAAUUUUUAAUGGAAAUUCACUCUUAAUUUUUCUGUGAUCUGUAAAGCCCAGCUAAGAGAAAAAUUAAAUAUCUCUAUAAAACAAUUGAGCAGAAAAAACUAUUAUGCAUCAAGCAAAAUAUCUCCUUUUUAAUAAUAAAUGGCAUUCUUUCUUGAGAAAAUAAUAUUUUUCCUAAUAUAGAUUAAUAUUAUAUUUGUUAGUUCUAUAUGAAUAAGUUAAAUAAAUAGCUGGAAAUUAAUUUAUACUAGUUACUAAACAUUUUAUUUUUAAUAAACAAUUAUUUCAUCUUUGUAUAGCAUGUAAGCUAAUAUAUGACUCAAUAAUGUUAUUGAAAACAUUAGACAUUUUAUGAUGUGAUCUCUAUUUACAGUACCUAAUAGACCCUCUCAUGUUCCUUGUCUCUUUAUCUCACCACAUUCUAAAACCUUCUAUCUCUUUCUCAUUUUAUUAUUAUUAUUUUAUUCUUCAAUCUGUUUCUUUUUUCCCUUAGUUAUUAAGGGGUUAGAAAACAUCCUGGUAAUAUUUGUUAAUAAAAUGUUAGGCACAAUAUCUUUUUUGAUAUCUUCUAUGUAAAUAAUUUUACAUUCAGGUGUUUGUACACAUUAUAAUUGAAUAAAAAUCGAGUUUAAUUGUUAAACUUGGUAUUCAAAUAAAUGUGUAAUAUAGUCGUGUCAUAAAAGUGUGAUAAUUAAAUAGAUUAAUUAGAAAAACAAAGAAAAAAAUCAACAGAAAGGAAAAAACUAAUGCAGAAAAAGAAAAAGAAAUUGAAUUAAUUGGGUUAACCCUUUAAACCAGGUUAUCCUGUAAAACCUGGGAUUAGUGUCAUGAAAGUUUGAUAACUAAAUAGAAAAAAAAUGGCGGGUUUACCGAGAAUUAACCGGGUUAACCCAUCAAACCAAGUUAAUCCGUCAAGCCCAGGAUACGUGUUAAGAAAGUCUGAUAAUUAAAUAGAAACAAAAUUAACUUUAACAAACUAAACUAAAUGAAAAAAAUAACUUGUCAAAUCAGGUUAACCAAUCAAACCCAAGAUUCGUAUCAUGAAAAUAUGAUAACUAAAUAAAAAAAAUUUAACAUUAAGAAACUAAAUCAAACAAAAACAAUUCAUUAAAAAAAUUAAAAAAAAACAAAAGAAAAACACAGUCAUGUAAUAUAAUACAAUAUAAUAAUAAUUAUAAUGAAAAAACGUGGGGAAAACUAAAGCUAAAGCUAAAUUCUCACCCAACUCAAUAUUAAAAAAAAUAAAUUUAACAAAGAUAAUUUAAAAAAUAAACAUGUGGAGAAACACUGCAACCAAACAAAAAUCAUGUAAGGGAAACAUUGUAGUAAUCCAUAGUGUUUUUUUUUUCCUUUUUUAAAAAAGCUACAAAGCUAAGUUCUCAACCAGCUUAAUAUAUAUAAAAAACCGAGAUCCAUGUAAUGAAAGUAUGAUAACUAAAUUAAUUUUUUUUUCACAUUAACAAACCAAAUUAAAAAAAAAAAAAAAACACAGAAAAAAAAGCAAAACAAAAACAAAAUGAAAACAAAAAAUGAAAAAAAAAGUCAAGUGUUUCACUGUGUGCACAGUGAUACAUUAUAUGUAAAAAAAAGAAGAAACUAAAGCGAGGAAAAAAAAAACAAAGCUGCUACAAUGAAAAACCCACGCGUUAAAAAAAACAUGUAAAAAAAAAAAAAAAAAAAAAAAAAAAAAAAAAAAAAACAAAGUUGCUAUAAUGAAAAAACAUUUAAAACAAAACAAAAGCAAAAGCAAAAAAAAAGAAAGGAAAAACUACUACUACUACAAAAAAAACCAAAAACAAAAAAAAAAUGCCACAGAAGAAAAAACUGCAAAAAAAUUGAAAAAACAUUUUAAAAAAACAAAAUCAAAGGAAAAAAAAUAAAGGAAAAACUGCUACAGAAAAAAAAGACCAAAAAUGAAAAAAAAAAAAUGGCAUAGAAGAAAAAGCAAAAAAAAAACUGCAAAAAAAAAAAAAGCAACUUUAGCUACAGUGAAAAAGUACGCGUUUUAGUAUAUUACUAAUUACAUGACUAGCGCAAUGCCGCGGGUCAAUUUUUUUGCAUAAAAAAUAUUAUAAAAAAACUAAGAUAUAAAUGUAUUAGGUUUUUUUGCAAAGUUAUAUUUAAGAGUUUUAGGUUUGAUUGCAAUGCCUAACUCAAACGUAAUAUUUAUGAUAACAUUAAACUUGAAAGACCAAAGUUUAAGUGGGUCUGGCUACAAUACCAAACCCAAACGUAAUAUUUAUGAUAACAUUAAACUUGAAAGACCAAAGUUUAAGUGGGUCUGGCUACAAUACCAAACCCAAUAGUCUUGGAUAUGAGUCUAGCUGCAAAGUUGUGUCAUAAAAGUGUAAUACUUAAAUAGAUUAAUUAAAAAGAAAAAAACAAAGAAAAAAAACCAACAUGAAAAAAAAAUCUGAAUUAACUGGGUUAACCCGUCAAACCUGAGAUUCGUGUCAUGAAAGUCUGAUAACUAAAUAGAAAAAAAAAUUUAAUAUCAACAAACUAAAUAAAAAAAAAGUUAAUUAAAAAAAAAUGGCAUCAACAUUUUCACCGUGGACUGUACUGUGCAGUCCACAGUGAAAGGCAUAAAAAGAAAAAAAAAAAACAAAAAAUAAUAAUUAAAGACAUCAGCCUUUUCACCGUGGACUACAUACAAUAUUAAAAGAUGAAAUCGAAAGAACAAAACUAAUGAGGAAAAAGAAAAACAAUCUGAAUCAACUGGGUUAACCCGUCAAACCUGGGAUCCGUGUCAUGAAAGUCUAAUAAUUAAACACAAAAAAUUUAAUAUUAAAAAACUAAAUUAAAAGAAUAAUUACAAAACAAAAAAAAGAUAAAAAGAUAAAAAAUAAAAUAAAGGCAUCAGCUUUUUCACUGUGGACUGCACUGUGCAGUCCACAAUAAAAGGCUUAAAAAGGAAAAGGAAAAAUAAAAAAACAAAACAAAGGCAUACGCCACGGGUUAUUUUUUUUCUUGCAUAAAAAAUAUCAAAAAAUGCUAAGAUCUAAGAGUGUUAUGUCUUUCUGCAAAGAUAUACCCAAGAGCCUUUGGUCUAGCUGCAACAAUUGACCCAAGAGUAAUAUUUAUAAUAAUAUUAAACUUACAUGACUCAAGUUUAAAUGAGUCUGGUUGUAACACCAGACCCAAGAGCCUUAAAUGUGGGUCUGGUUGCAAGGUUGUGUCAUAAAAAUGUGAUAAUUAAAUAGAUUAAUUAAAAAAAAAACAAAGAAAAAAAACCAACAUGAAGAAAAAAAUUGAUAAAGAAAACGAAAAAAAAAAUCAAAAUUAACUAAGUUAACCUUUCAAACCAGUAUAACCUGUCAAACCUUAGAUUCACGUCAUGAAAGUUUAAUAACUAAAUAGAAAAAAAAAAUUGACGGGUUAACCUGUCAAGCUUCGAAUACGUGUCAUGAAAGUCUGGUAAUUAAAUAGAAAGAAAUUUAACAUUAACAAACUAAACUAAAUGAAAAAAUUAAUUAAAAAGAAAAAAAAAUGUCUAGUUAAUUCGUCAAACCAGGUUAACUCGUCAAACUCGGGAUCAAUUAACAAACUAAAUUAAACAAAAAAAAUUAAAAGGAAAAUAAACUUAGAAAGAAGCCAAAAAAAACCCAUAAAGGCAUAAAAAACCAAAAAAACAAUACAGAAAAAAAUGAAAACAAAAAAUAAUAUAUAUUAUAAUAUAAUUAUAAUUAUUAUAUAUAAUUAUAAUAAUAAUAAUAAUAAUUAUUAUUAUUAUUAUAUAUAAGUAUAAUUAAAAGGCAUGGGGAAGCUACAGUGCUUUCCCCACGCCUUUUAGAGUUCUAUAUAUAUAUAUAUAUAUAUAUAUAUAUAUAUAUAUAAAUAAAUGGAAUUUGAAAAGUUACGGGUAUGGGUAUGGUUUAACUGGUUAGGAUUUAAAUUUAUUUUUUAAAAAUUAUUAAUUUAAAUUUUAUAAAUUUAGAAUAUUAAAAAUUUAUAUAAUUAUUAAUUUUAGAGUUUAUAAAAUUAAUUAAAACACGCGUAAAUUAACUUGUAUAACCAUAUUAAUAAAUUAAAAAAAAAGAUAGAUGGAAUGUGUACCUAACAUUUUAAAGGACAAAGGAAAAUGAAUGGAAUGGAGACUCCUGAGUUGAGGAAAAAGUGAAAGGAAACAACAUUCUUCAAUGGAAAUUCACUCUUAAUUUUUCUGUGAUCUGUAAAGCCCAGCUAAGAGAGAAAUUAAAUAUCUCUAUAAAACAAUUGAGCAGAAAAAACUACUAUGCAUCAAGCAAACUAUCUCCUUUUUAAUAAUAAAUGGCAUUUUUUUCGAGAGAAAUUAAUAUUUUUCCUAAUAUAGAUUAAUAUUAUAUUUGUUAGUUCUAUAUGAAUAAGUUAAAUAAAUAGCUGGAAAUUAAUUUAUACUAGUUACUGAACAUUUUAUUUUUAAUAAACAGUUAUUUCAUCUUUGUAUAGCAUGUAAGCUAAAAUUCAGUAUAUAUGACUCGAUAAUGUUGUUGAAAACAAUAGACAUUUUAUGAUGUGGUUCCUAUUUACAGUACCUAAUAUACCCUUUCAUGUUCCUUGUCUCUUUAUCUCACCACAUUCUAAAACCUUCUUUCUCUUUCUCAUUUUAUUAUUCUUCAAUCUCUUUCUUUUUUCCCUUAGUUAUCUGGGUAAGGGGUUAGAAAACAUCCUUGUAAUAUUUGUUAACAAAAUUUUAGGCACAAUAUCUUUUUUGAUAUCUCCUAUGUAAAUAUCUUUAUAUUAAGGUAUUUGCACAUAUUAUAAUUGAAUAAAAGUCAAAUUUGACCGUUGAACUUAAUAUUCAUCUAGAACAUGCUUGGAAGUGUGGUUAUGGUUACUUUUCAAAGUGUUUUUCACUUAGAAAAGUAUAUCAAUAAUAUUUUUUUAUUAAAAAAAAUUAUUUUAAAGAUCAGCACAUCAAAAUAAUUUGAAAAAAUAAAAAACAUAUUAAUUUAAAGCAAAAAAAAAUUAAUUUUUUUCAAAAACAAUUUUCAAACGCAGUGCCAAACACCAAAUGUGUAAUGUCCAACCUCCAAAUCAGAGCCCUUAGAAAACAUCUAUGACUAAGUGCCUAAUCAUGAAAAAUAGCAAAUAUAGACCCAUAAGAAUUUUCAAAUUCAAGAACAUGAGAUGUUAGUUUAUCAUUAACAUCAUCAUCAAUAUUUACUAUCACAUUCGAGAUUAACAUCUCAUCAUCUUCAUUGUCACUAGGAUUAAAAUAGUGAAAUCUAUGUUGAUCAGUGAAUGGUUUGUCAAACAUAAUAUUAUCUAUCCUUUAUAACAAAUCACCUGACAAUAAAUUAUUAUUUUUUCUAUUAACUAACUUUGAAGGACCGGCAAAUUAUGAUGUACUUAUACAUAUUCGACCAAAAGUUAGGAUAAACAAAGAAAUUGAUUGGCUAUUGACAUACAAUAUCAUUAUGUUAAUCCAUUUUAGAUGAAAGAAUCAAUCAUUAUCUUAAAACUUCCAUCACGUAUAAUCGGUACAUGAUAAUAUUGAUGUUUGCCAAUUGAACACCUCCAAGUUAUUUCAACAUUAAUAUCAUUAUAAUAUUACCCAAGUCCAUGACAAAUAAUUUUUUUUUUUUUCACAUAUGACAUGCAUAAAUUACUAUUUAACAGUAUGUGAUAUUAUUGUUCACAUCAAGAACAAUAAUGCCACUGUAAUGACAUGAUAUAAAUAUAUUAUAAGAUAUUAUGUAAAAAACAAAAAUCAAAUUCUGGUCAAUUGAACAUAACUUUAACUAAAUUGCAUUACUUCAUCUCUAAUUUCUAAAAUUCAUAAGUUAAAACAAAUUUUCAAAAUUUAAUCCAACAUAUAUUUCACCAAAAUUAAACAUAAUUCAUGAUAUCAAUUCUUAUUGAUAUUUUCAUGCUCAAUUGCAUAAAAUCAAACCUAAAUUCAUAACAAAUUAAUUCAAACAAUUAAAAAAAAAAUCAAAUUCAAUAACUUAUCCACAAUUCAAUGCAAUGUGUAAUUCAUCAAAACUCUACUUCAUUCAUGCUCUAGCUAUUGCAUGAAACCAUCAAGUGUAAAUGAUAGUUGAUUCCAACCAAUUUACAUAAAAUUCUUAAUUCAACAACUUAUUCAAAAUUCAACUCAACACAUAAUUGAAAUAAUUAAUUCCUAAUUAAUUGAUGUUAUUUUCAUGUUCAACUAUUACAAAUCAAACAUAAUUGAUGGGAUUCAUAGCUAAUUUAUCAUUAAUUCAACAAGCUCUAAAUUCAACUUGAACCCUAAAUAAUAAUUUUAUUCGAAUUAAACCAAACACAAAUUAAAUAUAAAACUGAUAUAUUUAAUAAAAACGCAGUAUAUAUGUUCUUAAUUCAGUCAUAUUUCCAUCAGAACACUACUCUACCUUAUCUCCUGGAUCAGGGAACAAGGACUUGGAAAAUGCAACAUUAUGUGUACGUGAAGUUCGAUAUUGUUCUUUGCAUUAAUAUGGGAUAUAAACAAAUUUGACUUGAUGAAAUGUGAGCAGGAUAUCAAGCUGGAUGCUGACCGUUUUCAAUUUGAUGGCGUAUUUCUGGUACAGUGCCACGAUAAUCGAGCAUGUUGCUGAAUUAACUGAGUGCCUUGAGGUGAAGCAACGAAGGCAGUGCCUCUGAAACUAUUCCAGAAUUUUGCUGUCUCAUUCCGAAAAGAUAAUCUUUUCAGGUCUAAGCCUUUGGAUUUCUUGUAUUGCAUUUCAAAAAAUUCUCUGAAUAAAUGAAUGCAUUGCUGAGAUUCAGAUUUCUUACUACUUUCAUGAACAUGGUGAUAUUUUUUUCUGUUUUCAGAAUCAUGGUCAAAUUAUGUGGAAACUCAUCAAAAAUAAAAAAACAUGGUAGGCUGAAUAGUCAUGGCCUGAGAUUUGAUAAUAUUAACAUAAAAAAUUCUUAGGCUAUUCAAAAACUAUGCAUGAUUGGAUAUAUUUUUAAAUAUUAUUUCAAGGCAUGCAUGGGCCUAAAAGGAUAAGCAUUCAUUUUUGGCUAAAAUAAAAACGCUAAGACACGUGCGAGCCUAAAAGGCUAGGCUCAUGUUUACCCUCACACUAUGGUUCUGUUUUCUUUUUAAAUAUGUGAAUACAUUGUCCAUCUUAUAUAUAUUUUUUUAAAUAAGAUGGACAACAAGUCAUCUAUUAAGGUUAAUGACUUUGGUCAACUAGUUCAGUUUUUAAUAACCUACUAUAAUUGAAAAGGUAGGAUUCAACUGUUUAGACCUCUAAAAUUUAUUUUUUCAACUUAUUUUUAUCUAAACAUAUCCUUAAAAUAUCAUAAAAACCUUAAUAACAUCAUUUUCAUCCUUAAAAUACCAUAUGAUUAAGCUAAAAAAUAAAACUGAAUAAAAAACUUAUGAAUCCUGAUUUAUUUUUAUUUUUACUUGUUUAAAGCACUAAACAACAACCAUUGUCUCUAACUGUAAUGAAACAAUAAAUUACCAAGCUUUUUAAGUAUAUUUUAUAAUUAUAUAAAAGGAAAAUUACGAUAAUCAUCUUAUACUUUCCAUAACGUAAUCCUUCUCCAACAACACGACACGAUCUGAUGCGUAAGUAAUGACUUAAUCAUGGCGAUCCUUUCUUUUUGUUUACGAGUGAAACAAUAUUAUAUAUUAAUAACCCAUCAAUUGACUUAGAAAACGAGAAUCAGUAAACAAUUUUAUCAUAAUGUUUUUAUGUGGUGGUAGACGGACAUGUAGGGGUGAGUAAAAAAACCGAAAAACCGAAUAAACCAAAAAAACCGAAAAACCGAAUAAACCAAAAAAACCGAGAAAAAAAAAACCGAAAAAACCGAACCGAAAAAAAACCGAUUAAACCAAUUAAUUUUUUUCUAAAAAUGUUCGGUUCGGUUCGGUUUCGGUUUCAGAAACCAGAAACCGGAAAAACCCCAACUGAACCGAACCGGUUCGGUUUGAGGGGUACUAUAAAUACAGGAAAAAAUCGCAUCAGUUUUUUUAACCCUAGCAUCUAUACUUUAGCCGUCCUUAUCCUUCUCCUGAGCCGCUCCCUUUACUCACAGUCUCACAAUUCACAAUUUCAAAUUGAAAUCAAUCCAUCUCCAUCUACUGGACCACAAUUAGAUCAGCCCCCACCAUCUUCGAUUCUCUAUCUUUAAACACUAGCCAGCCACAUCUUUGAUUCUUCAUCUUCAAACACCAGCCACCCACAUCCCUCUCCCACCAUCUUCAUCUUCAAACGGCAGUCAGCGACUCAGCCACAUCCCUUUCCCACUGACCACCAUCUUCAUCUUCGAACACCAGUCAACCAUAUCCCUCUCUCACACGGUCACACCAGAUCUUGAAUCGUAAGAUACACACCACACCGGCACACCGAACCUCCAGAGUCCAACUCUAGAUUUAGCGACCAGUCAGGCAGUCACCUCCCUCUCUCACACCCGACCUUGAAUCAUGUCACACCAGGUAUGAUUUUUUUUUCCUGUCAAUCUCUGUUUUAUUUUUUUUGAACAUAUGCUCUGUUUAUUUUUUAAUAAAUUGCUUAAGAAGAAAUUUAUGACAGACAAUGUGUUUUACUGUUUUUCUUUGCUGAGAAAGAAUGUUAAUGAAUUCGUGUUUUAUUAUUUAUUAAGGUCAUGAGCAGCAAUGAAAAAAAUAAUGGAAUCUAGAUUAAUAUCGGAAUGAGGAUUAAUGUUUAUUAUCUGUGUUAAAAAAGGGGGGGGUUUCGGUUGAUUUUAAUUUAUCAAUUCUAAAAACUGAUUUUUUAUUUUAUUUUAUGAAAAGAGAAUAAUGUUUAUAUAUAUAUAUAUAUAUAUAUAUAGAUGUUGAGUUUGUAUAUUGUAAUUAUAUAUAUAUAUAUAUAUGCUGCUAUUAUAUAUUUAUAUAUAUAUAUAUAUGCUGAGAUUAUAUUAUGCUGUAAUGCUUGAUAGGGGUGUUCAAAAAAACCGACCAACCGAUUAAACCGAAAAAACCAAGAAAAAAUUAACCAAAAAAACCGAACCGAUAGAAAAAACCGAAUAAACCGAUUAAACAAUAAAAAAACCGCCCGGUCCGGUUUGGUUCCGGUUUAAAAAGGCUUAAACCGAUUGAACCGGGCCAAACCGAACCGGUUUAAUUGAAUCUAAAAAAUAGUAUAAAAGGAAACUAAACCUAAAUAAUAAAUACCCUAACCUAACCCUACAUUUCCCACCACCUUUCCAGCCGCCCCCUUCCUUUCCCUUUCCCUUUUCCCACUUUCCAUUCCAGCCACCUACCUAUCCCUCCCUCCCCGCUCUCGUCUCCCCCCCUCUUCCCUUUCCCUUUUCCUUUCCCAUUUCCCUCUUUCCAUUCCAGCCACCCACCUAUCCAUCCCCCUCGCUCUCCUCCCCCCUUUACCCUUCCCCUUUCUCUCCCUUUCCAGUCACCCCACCUCUCUCCUCCCUCUCCUCUGUGCACAAGGAAGGCUUAAGACAACUCAUUUUCUCUCAUAUUGUUGCCUUUCUACUCUCUGCUUUACUUUAUGGCAGAAAACUUGGAUAAAAUCCUUGUUUCUGGUUUUAUUAACAAGCAGUUGUGCUAGCAAGGUCCCGGUAGUUUGCGCCUUUGCGGGAUGCUAUUGGAAUCUUUGUUAACAUGUAGUUGUGCUUGCUUGGAUAGAUCUAGUGAUUGUGAUUCAGCUAAGAGAGAUCUUUCAGAUCUCAACCGAAGGGCUUGGAUUCAAAGUUUUCAACGAUUUUUUUGAAUGUGAUUCGGCCAAGUUUGUCCAGUGAUUGUGAUUCGGCCAAGUUUUCUUUUAUUUAAUUUGUUUUGGUUUUUCUGGUUUCUAAGGCUAAAAAACCGACCCGAGCCGAACAAAACCGGUUCGGUUUGAACCGGUUCUCGGUUCAGUUCGGGUUAUAUUAACAAGGAAUAGUAUUUUCCGGUUCGAUUGAUUUUUUAUGUUAAAACCGGACCGAACCGGACCGUGAACACCCCUAAUGCUUGAUAUAUAUAUAUGCUGUGAGUUUGUAUAUUGUAAUUAUAUAUAUAUAUAUAUAUGCUGCUAUUAUAUAAUUAUAUAUACAUGCUGAGUUUGAAAACUGAUUUUUUAUUUUAUUUUAUGAAAAGAGAAUAAUGUUUAUAUAUAUAAAUAUAUAUAGAUGCUGAGUUUGUAUAUUGUAAUUAUAUAUAUAUAUAUAUAUAUAUAUAUAUAUAUAAUUACAAUAUACAAACUCAGCAUCUAUAUAUAAUUAUAUAAUAGCAGCAUAUAUAUAUAUAAUUACAAUAUACAAAUUCACAGCAUAUAUAUAUCAAGCAUUACAGCAUAAUAUAAUCUCAGCAUAUAUAUAUGCUGCUAUUAUAUAAUUAUAUAUACAUGCUGAGUUUGUAUAUAUAUAUAUAUAUAUAUAUAUAUAUAUAUAUAUAUAUAUAUGAUAAAUGAUCUUGAAACCUACGAAAACCUUGAGUCAGGUAAUUUAUUUUAGAAACUUACACCUUUUAUUUUGUUAUUUAUUAAUUAAAUUGUUUGCAAUCAUCUAACAUGUCUAAUUUUUUAUUUUGUAGAAUUUGGUGGAAAGUUACAUUUAGUAACGGAUGAUAAUUAGUUCAAAAGUUACUUUGAUGGCAAAAUACUACUUUUUAUUUUUACAUAUUCUAAUUUAUUUUAUCAUGUUAUAAUUUUAGAUCUUGAUUUUCAGGUUUUGAUGUCAAUGGUAUUAUGGAAUCAAAGUGCAAUGUUUUUGUGAUCUUUGUCGCACCCCAAAAAAAAUCAGCGUGCGGCAUCGAGCUGGCGAUUUAAGUCUCGUUGUUGCGUGAACUUGAUUCGGUUCGUUGGGAGUCGCCACCUAGUAAUUUAUUGAAGGCUACUAGGAAACCGGAUGGACUGGUCUCGUCAGAGAUUCGCGGGUAAGGGACUGGUUGUGGUUAGGGAAGGUAUUAGCACCCCUAACGCACCCUACCUAAGGUAAGCUGCUUCGUGAAUUUGAUGUGUUAAAGAAGUUUUAAUAAUUGUCUUUUCAUCGGAAAUUAGAAAUAUCACUUACGUAUAAGUUAAUAAUUCUUAACCGUGAUCCGAUCAAAAUAUUAAAUUCUUCUUUAAUAGAUUUGCAAUUUUAUCCUAAAAAAAUAAAUAAAAACAUUCAUAAUAACGAAUACAAACCCACACAUACACUUUCACUAUUUUUGUUUCUUUUUUUUUUUUUUUUUUUUUUUCUUUUCUUUUACAUCCAAAUACAAAUACAAAUACAAAUACAACUUCAAAUUCAAAAUAAACAAAUAAAAAUUACAUUAAUUAAUUUAAAAAUUACAAAAACAGUCCCUAAAAUUCUAAAACAUUUCAGGGAAGGACUUCUGCAGCCGGAACAGUGUUCGUCAUGGUUUCUGGGCUCGGGAACAGUGGUGGCGCGUGGAUCUCACGCGCCACCACCACUGGCGGCACGUGGGUUCACGCGCCGCCACAGAAAAUAAAACAGCAACAGGGGGUCUGGAUCGCCUUCUUCCCCUCUUCUUUCGUCGCCGGCGAUGACCUGCAAAGCAAACCCCAAACACAGCAAGCAGUUGAUUUUAUUUUUUGUUUUAGAUCUGCUUUUAAUUUUUUGUUUUCUCUGAUCUGUUCCUUCUUCAGAUCAUCUUCUCCCCGGGUCAAUUCGUUAGGGGUUCCGUCUUCUUCUCCUCUGCUUCGGGUACCAGAUCGGGCGGCGCUGCAAAGGGGUCACGGCUGUGGUUGCUGCUGUUGUUGUCCGUCCGGCGAUUGAAGCCACAGUGGAGAUGGGCUUGUUGUCGAUGUUCAGGCGGAGGAACGGACCGAUCGGGGUCUGGGGGCGUCGCUGUUGAUGGCUGAGAGGAGCGCCGCCGAGAUGGAGAGUGGACUGUGGGUCUGAGAAUGGCUCUGCCCAUUUGCUGGUCGGUGGAGGUGAGGCUGUUUUGCUGGGUGACUUGGGGGAAGACCGGCGCUGAUGGAGAGGCUUGAGGUCGGUGGGUGUUGGUCAGAUCUGUGGGGAGGAGACGGCUGUGAAGGGGCUGAGAAGAAGGGGAAAAUCUGAUGAUGGGGGUGGCGGCCGGUUCUGGUGAGGAGAAGAAAAAAAAUUAAAGAGGAUGGCCGGCGCCUGGUUGUUUUUGAGAAGAAUAAACUGGUGAGCAGUGGCUGGAAGUUCAAAAAUUUUCAAACCGGGGGCGGCUCCUUUAGGUAGAAUGAGGCAGUUUUUUUUUGUUUAGGGUUAGGGUUUUUUGUAUUUUUGUCUUCUGAAAAUUUCAAAAUUGCCCCCCCCUCCUUGUGUGAGUUAAAGACCAGUAUUUAUAGGCAAAAAUGUUGCCAAGUUUUUCAACUUGGUCCCUCAACUUCUUUCUUUUUGUAAAUUUUGAUUUUUCUUAUUUUUUUGAAAACGAGCAAUAUCAACGUCGACUCAACGAGGAAAAUUAAUGUUUUUAAAAAAUGACGCGUGAAAAGUCGAACGCGUUUGAAAUUUGUUUAGAAAAAUUUAAAUUCUUUUUUUUUUAGACGAUGUUGAAAAUGCUAAAAGGACGAAAAUAUAUUAAAAAAACAUAUUUUUUGGAUUUUCAUUGUUUUUCUCUAUUUUUGGAUUUUUUGAAAAUAUAUCAAAAACAUGGGUCAAAAAUUGGGUAGCAACAGAUGCCCCCUCUUUACAAUGCUUACGAAGCGAAAAUCCUCAAAAUUUUGCAUAGUAAGCUUUGUAAAGAAAACAAAAGGAAAAUGAUUUCAUUAUCUUGGGCGACCUGCCCACACACUCACACUGAUCUAUUUUCACGGGCGACCGACCCACACAUACUCACUUUGGUCUAUUUUCACGGGCGACCGAUCCACACAAACUCACUCUAGUCUAUUUUCACGGGCGACCGACCCACACUCUCACACUGGUCUAUUUUCACGGGCGACCUGCCCUUUUAAUUGGGUUUACCUGAGAUCCCAUCUAGCGACCUCAUUCAACUGGAACAAAAAUAUUGUGUAACUCAGUUAACCUGAAAUCUCAUCUGGCGAUUCCCUUUAACCAAAGCUACAUGAGAUCCCAUCUGGCGACCUCAUUUAACCAAAACAAAAGAAUGUGUGAAAAAUGGUCUCAUUGUAUGGGUGACGAACCCAAGAAAAAAAUGAUGGUCUCAUUGUAUGGGUGACGAACCCCAGAAAAAUGAGAAAAAUGAUGGUCUCAUUGUAUGGGUGACGAACCCCAGAAAAAUGAUGGUCUCAUUGUAUGGGUGACGAACCCAGAAAAAUGAUGGUCUCAUUGUAUGGGUGACGAACCCAGAAAAAUGAUGGUCUCAUUGUAUGGGUGACGAACCCCAGAAAAAUGAUGGUCUCAUUAUAUGGGUGACGAACCCAAGAAAAAUGAUGGUCUCAUUGUAUGGGUGACGAACCCAGAUGGAAAAAAUAUGAAGUGCGGUCUCAUUGUAAUGGGUGACCUACCCACGUGGAAAAAAUAUGAAGUGUGGUCUCAUUGUAAUGGGUGACCUACCCAGAUGGAAAAAAAUGAUGAAGUGCGGUCUCAUUGUAAUGGGUGACCUACCCGGAUGGAAAAAAUGUGAAAAACGGUCUUAUUAUGAUGGGCGACCUACCCAGAUGGAAAAAAUGUGAUAUGACAAGUGUGAAAAAUAGGACUUACCUGGCGAAGUUCUGAAGGGAUGACAGAAGAAAGGGCUGGAAACUUGGUGCUUCCUGAUAAUUCCCGAUCAUGGGUUUGAAAACUCGGUGUUUCCUGACUGCAAGGGUUGAAAACUCGAGGCUUCCCGAUUGCAAGGUUGAUCUAUUCAUUUCUUUGGGAUUUUCCUAAUGGUAGGGUUCAUCCCAUCGUCCUUUUAUUCCAUGAUCAAAACCGAUUCUUUAUUAUCAUCACCACAAUGCUUCUUUCUCUUUCCACCAUCUUGCUGGACCUCAUUAAGGAUUUUCCUGUAACAAUUCAAAAAUAUGUGCAAAUGGUUUUUUUUUUUUUUUUUUUGAGGUUAGAUGAUAUGCAUGCAUCCUUACCUGAUUUGAAAUAAUAGGUCCCCCCUCUUUGAUGCUCCAUCGUCAUAGGGUGCCCUUGUUUGUAUCCCAAAGCUUUCUUUGUUCUUCCGAUGUAUUGGCUCAUUCAUGUGUUAGCCAUCCACUCAGCUGUAAAUGCAGUGCCCAUCCCGGGCUGUCUUCGACAAUUACUGCUUGCAUCGUUCAUGAAGCUUGACCCUGCCCCCAAGUGUGUACUGCUUGAUUCAUCAUGAGAGAUUUUCUCUCCUGGCUUCUUCUGAGAAUUAUCCUCUGAUUGAUUGUGUGCAUCAUGCCAACACCCAUCACGUUUGUUAAUCAGUCAUGAACUUGCCUUCGGUUGAAACACCAUUCAAGUAUGUAUGGUCACCAGCCUUCAUGGAACUGCCAAGUCAUCCAGACAUGUAUCUCAUGCUUUGCAGUAAACAGCUCAUCAUUGUAAGCGCGAUGUAUUUCUCUAUGGAUUCCUCUUAGCUUGUCAAAUCAGAUCGUGAAAAUACCUGCUUUGGCAUCAUCAAUGAUGUUCAUGUUAUCACCCAUAUUCAUGCGGUGAAGUGCGCAUUUGAGCUUCAGAAUAGAUGGUCCCAUCGUAAAUCUUGGUGGUAUGCAUAUGUUCGAUGUUCAUCCAAAUGCACUCACCCGAUAACAUCUGUCCGGAGUCAUAUCCAUGUUUUACAAAGUAACCUAAGAUGAAGAUAUGAAAAUAUCUUUCUAGUGCAGCGUUGCUCAUCAAUUGCUGCUGAAGUGCACUAGAUCAUGGAUUGUCUUUGAACAACAUUGGCCUCAGUAUGAUCUGAAGGUUCAUUCAUCGGUUUAUACUCAAGAAGGUUUUUCUUUGUCAUUGUCAGAUGCUAAACAUAACUUUGACGACUCAUCAUCGGAUUCUUUCUUUGCCCCCAGCUGAUCUGGAUACUGUUUGCUUUCCUUCUUAAGGUCCACUGUAUUGCCCCCAGGUGGUCAACGUUUCAAGGAGUGUCGAGAAAUGUUGAUGUCAUUUUUGUCAAGAAUUUUGCAAACUCAAUUGAUGUUCUUGUUUGAAAAUCUUUCUUGUUCUGGAAUCAAAUCUCAACAUUUCAACGAUCAUGUCUAUUCAAGUAUAAUUGUUGAAAUGAAAUCAGAGAGAUAUCAGUUUUUGAAAAGUUAUUUUUGAAAUUCGAGCUCCUUUGGUCAAAGACCCAACACACUAUUCAAUGCAGUCCUUUGAUUGUCUUGUAUUUUGAAAACAGAAAUGACCCGUUGUAAGAUUUAAAAUGACUUUUUCAUGGUUCUUUGUGUCCACUUUAAACUCUGAUUUUGGGUAUAUCUUUUGAUGGUUUAUGGUGAGGUGAUAUUUUUGUGAAUUUCAAAUGACUAGAUGCUCAGGCUUGAUAAAGAAAGGUUGUUUCUUUUCUCAGUAUUUAUUUUAUCAGCAUGCAUAAUAACCAGUAGCCUAAUUCAAUGAAGCCACGACUCUUAUAGAAAAACUCUUCAAGUUUUGAGAUCGCCAUUUAUUGGUUCAGAUUGCUUGCUUGAUUAAAAAGGGCUUUUAAAAGCACGUAAUGCAGGCUAUGGUUCAUGGCUAUGAAAGAAAGGAAUUCCAUAGGCUCAAAAGGUGUUUGAGGGUUUCAACGACCUAGGACCAACAUUAACUAUUCAUCGAUUCUCUUUCUCUUGUCGUCAUUGUAGCGAGAGUGACAUAUAACCUUGUUAAUCUUCAAAUAUCAGAAUUCUCUUAACAUAGGUCAUAAUGCAAAUCCAACUUUUCUUUGAUGAAUAAACUAAUCUAAUUAUUUUUGAAGACAUUAGAGGCUCUAUCCAAGACACACCGAAAGAUAUGAAGCAUCGAUUUUUCUAGUGUUGACUUUUGGCAUUUGCUGUCUUUUCUCAAUUGAAAACUGUCUUGCCUCUCUUAGAAUUGAUAGGCAUUUUCUUUCCUUUCCAUUUUUUUUUUGCAUAGCCUUCCUCAAAGUUUUUCUUGGAUGGCCCUCAAUCUAUGGAUUUUCUUCUGCUAGCCCUUUCUCAAACAUUGGACUUUUGUUCUAAGCUUUUCUUUGAUCCAUUGAUUUUAUCAGUGUCUCCAAAAUAUUUCUCAUUUGCCCCCAGUGUGGGGUGUGAUCCUAGUCAGGGUUUCCUUUUGAAAGAAAAUAUCUCACCAAGCUCAAAAUGGGACUACAAGGGAUAUAAUUUUUAGAAAGUGAAGAGAUAUCAAAGAUGGCCUUUUCUCAUUUCAAGCAAGGUCGGUUAGAACCGAUAAAUUUUGACCUCAUCUAGUGUAAUGAUUUGUACUUGCAAGAAUCAUGAUUCACGAGUCCAUAACUAUUGAAUCCACUACAUGUCAUUAUGCAUACUGCUAAAACUUAGCUAUAUGAUGUGUGGUUCAGUUUCAAAAGGUAUGAGUUCAAAAUUGUUUGGUCACCUCAUGUCAUUUUCAAGCAUAGAGUCAUUUCUGUAAUCAAAACACUUUUAAUCUUCCGGAUUGAUUAACCUUUAUCGCAUGUUGGAGUUUGAUCAAAAUAUUUUGUCAGAAUAAAAUGCUAAACAUCUGUUGAUUUCAAAACAACAAAGAGACAAAAGCAAGGCAUGUUUCGUUGAAGGAUGAGAUGUGAUCCCAAAACAAAAUGCAGAAUUCCAAACAAUAUGAUUGACUGUUCAUCACCAUUCUUGAAUCAGCUUUUCUGGCAAUAUUGUGUUUGCAAGCACUUUCGAUCAACAUGUCAUUCUGAAAGAUGUUCGGGGCAAUAUAGCCAAUGACACCCUCCUUCACGACUCCACUUGUCUCUUGCUCACCAACUUUCAGACUCAAUUCUUGCAAUUCUUGAAAUUGCUCAAUUGAAAUGGUUGAGGACCCCAUCAUGACAUCACAUCUCUUGUCUGGAUUAAACCACCAGAAAAUGGUGGUUGCAUAGGAUUUGUCGGAGUCAAGCAAAAUUCUGGAAUCUGGCAGAUGCUGGUCGACAAACUUAAAUGGCAGAGGAAUGUCCCAUCUUGGCAAAGAUAUUUGAGCAAUUGAUGCUACCGUGAGACCUGGCUAUACCACAUAAUUAAGGGCUCACACCGUCAAAGUCAUCUCCUGAUUCACCUCUCAUCAUUGUUCUAGAAUCCAUGGCAGAUCCUUCAAUCUUUCUUCUCUUCAUAGCUUGUUCAAUUCUUCGGCAAAUCCUCACAACAUUAUUUCAAUCUUCCAAUGUUGCUAUGGUUGGUUGAGGAUUGUUAGAAAACUUUCUAACAGCUUGGUAAUCUUGGCAGCGCCCAGAAACUUGUAGUAUCGCCACUACCGACGUGUGGAAUCACACAUUGUCUCUAUUGGAAGAGCACCUGAUGAAUCUAAAACUCCUUUGUCCCCUCUUCGAUUUCUCACUGACAGUGCAGCAAACAAACACCUAUAGAGGAAGUCCUGCUCUGUUGAAGUUUCAGUAUUCUUCAUGUUUUUCAGUCUAGGCAUGUCUCUUUCUCUACUUUUGCGUUUUAAUACUGACACUGUUGGAGGAAAAUCAUAGAUGACCUGAAACUACUGUAUUCCUUCUUGGACUUCCCACUUGCGGAUCCACAAACAGAUUCCUGCUGAGUGAGCUUUGCUACGUUGAAGUUUGAUGUCUGCUCAUAUUUUUCAGACCAGGUCUGGCUCUUCAACCUACUAAGAGGUCUUCGUGCUGAAACUGAUGAGAGAAAUAUUUGUAGCAUAUGCAACUUAUAAAUCCCCUCUUGCCUUCCCAAUUUGCAGAGCCAUAAAUUGAUUUUUGUAGAGAGAGCUCUGCCACAUUGAAGUUCAGUGUUCAAUCAUGGUUUUUCAGACCAUCUUGUGCUGCUGAACUGGAAUUGAGCUCGUAAUCGGGGUAACUUCAAAGCAGAUUAAUGCACCAUGUACAGGAGACCGGUAGUUGUUUGGUUCCAUUAGAUGAUGUGGAGGCGAUGAACAUUUAACAAUGCAACUGGAUAAGAACCAGAGUUGUCAUUAGUUGAUGACUGAAGGCGUUGUUGCUUUUGUUCAUGACGAAAAAGGAGAGAUACAGCUUCAAUUAGAUGUGAACAAGCAGUGUUCCCACAGAAGACUGUGCAGAUAUUCUCUUUCCAUUUGAUGUUCAACACUUGUUCGAGCAGAUCUGAGUCUAGCUACUUCACAUUUAAUGCUCUCAACCUUAAUCUGAUAAUGAGCCUCUAUCUGACACCUUUCUUCACCUCCAUCAUUUUUCUCCAAUCACGUGCAGCACAGCUUGUGUGGGGACCUACCUUUCAGCCCGGUACAUGCAUGAUAAAUGUAUGAACAUGUAAUCUAUAUGAUGAACUCACCCUUCGAGAGGUGACAAUAUGGUCGUAACUCUUGUAUGAUGGACAAGAAUCGUGAUUUUUGCCCAAACUCUACAAUGAAAAUUUUCGGAGCAACGGCCAAUGUGUCACCCACAAGUCUUGAGUUCAAGAUGCUUCAAGAAGGGUUUGCCCUUAUGCAAAAAACGAUAGCACAUACAACCUAAGGACAGGUUCUAUUCAUUAUGUGAACAUGGGUAGGUUUUCUAUCUGGUCUCAAAAGGGUCUCAUAUCUGCCCAGUGACGUUCUUCGUAAAGACAGUAUGGGGGCGUUGCAAGGAAUGGUUAAGGCACGUAUACCCACCAUUACCAAGCAGGCACUCAGAUAUGAGUUGGGUGUUUCACGCAUCUGAACCCUGACCAAUAGUCUUAGGGCAGAUCGCUAGUUCCCCACCUAACCUAGAAGCUUGCGUGUGCUUUAAUAAAUACAGGUGAUGUAUGAAACAAUUCUAUAAAAUGCAUGGAAAAAAUAUUAACAAAAAGAUAAAAAUACAAAAACUUAAACACAUCAAAUACACAAAGCUUAGUCCAAUAAUGUCAGAAACAGUACCUUCCCCAGCGGAGUCGCCAUUAUGUCGCACCCCAAAAAAAAUCAGCGCGCGGCAUCGAGCUGGAGAUUUAAGUCUCGUUGUUGCGUGCUUGAAUUGGUUCGUUGGAGUCGCCACCUAGUAAUUGAUUGGGCUACUAGGAAACCGGAUGUACUGGUCUGUCAGAGAUUCGCGGUAAGGGACUGGUUGUGGUUAGGGAAGGUAUUAGCACCCCUAACGCACCCUACCUGAGGUAAGCUGCUUCGUGAAUUUGACGUGUUAAAGAAGUUUUAAUAAUUGUCUUUUCAUCGGAAAUUAGAAAUAUCACUUACGUAUAAGUUAAUAAUUCUUAACCGUGAUCCGAUCAAAAUAUUAAAUUCUUCUUUAAUAUAUUUGCAAUUUUAUCUAAAAAAAUAAAUAAAAAUUCAUAAAACAAAUACAAACCACACAUACACUUUCACUAUUUUUUUUCUUUUCUUUUCUUUCUUUUUUUUUUUUCUUUUCUUUUCUUUUACAUCCAAUACAAAUACAAAUACAAAUACAAUUCAAUUCAAAAUAAACAAAUAAAAAUUACAUUAAUUAAUUUAAAAUUACAAAAACAAGUCCCUAAAAUUCUAAACAUUUCAGGGAAGGACUUCUGCAGCCGGAACAAUGUUCGUCAUGGUUUCUGGGCUCGGGAACAGUGGUGGCGCGUGGAUCUCACGCGCCCCCACCACUGGCGGCACGUGGGUCCACGCGCCGCCACAGAAAAUAAAACAGCAACAGGGGGUCUGGAUCGCCUUCUUCCCCUCUUCUUUCGUCGCCGGCGAUGACCUGCAAAGCAAACCCCAAACACAGCAAGAAGUUGAUUUUAUUUUUUGUUUUAGAUCUGCUUUUAAUUUUUUGUUUUCUGCGAUCUGUUCCUUCUUCAGAUCAUCUUCUCCCCGGGUCAAUUCGUUAGGGGUUCCGUCUUCUUCUCCUCUGCUUCGGGUACCAGAUCGGGCGGCGUUGCAAAGGGGUCGCGGCUGUGGUUGCUGCUGCUGUUGUCCGUCCGGCGAUUGAAGCCACAGUGGAGAUGGGCUUGCUGUCGAUGUUCAGGCGGAGGAACGGACCGAUCGGGGUCUGGGGGCGUCGCUGUUGAUGGCUGAGAGGAGCGCCGCCGAGAUGGAGAGUGGACUGUGGGUCUGAGAACGGCUCUGCCCGUUUGCUGGUCGGUGGAGGUGAGGCUGUUUUGCUGGGUGACUUGGGGGAAGACUAGCGUUGAUGGAGAGGCUUGAGGUCGGUGGGUGUUGGUCGGAUCUGUGGGGAGGAGACGGCUGUGAAGGGGCUGAGAAGAAGGGAAAAAUCUGAUGAUGGGGGUGGCGGCCGGUUCUGGUGAGGAGAAGAAAAAAAAUUAAAGAGGAUGGUCGGCGGCUGGUUGUUUUUUAGAAGAAUAAACUGGUGAGCAGUGGCUGGAAGUUCAAAAAUUUUCAAACCGGGGGCAGCUCCUUCGGGUAGAAUGAGGCAGGUUUUUUUUUGUUUAGGGUUAGGGUUUUUUGUAUUUUUGUCUUCUGAAAAUUUCAAAAUUGCCCCCCCUCCUUGUGUGAGUUAAAGACCAGUAUUUAUAGGCAAAAAUAUUGUCAAGUUUUUCAACUUGGUCCCUCAACUUUUUUCUUUUUGUAAAUUUUGAUUUUUCUUAUUUUUUUGUAUGUUUUUGAAAACGAGCAAUAUCAACGUCGACUCAACGAGGAAAAUCAAUGUUUUUAAAAAAUGACGCGUGAAAAGUCGAACGCGUUUGAAAUUUUUUUAAAAAAAUUUAAAUUCUUUUUUUUUUUAAACGACGUUGAAAAUGCUAAAAGGACGAAAAUAUAUUAAAAAAACAUAUUUUUUGGAUUUUCAUUGUUUUUCUCUAUUUUUGGAUUUUUUGAAAAUAUAUCCAAAACAUGGGUCAAAAAUUGGGUAGCAACAAUCUUGAUGUGCUUUUUGAUGGAGAUGAUGUGCCCAAUGAAGAUUUAUGUUUUUUGCAUGAAGUAUUUUAUUUUUUAUGGCAAUGUUAUUUGUUGUUGUUUUUAAGCCCUUUUGAAGGCAAUGCUUUGUAAUUUUAAUUUUAAUUUGGUGUGUGUGUUAUAUUUAAACUAUGAUGCAUGAGGAGUUCAAACUCCAAAACAUAAAUAUUAGAAAGACUUGCAACAUAUUAAACACAAUAUUAGCACUAAUAAUUUAAUAUAAAUGAAUAUUUAGUGACAAGAAAUAUUAAAUAUAUUAUUAUAGAAUUUUGUAACAAAAAUAGAAAAUAUUUACAUUAAUUAUAAGCCCAUUAGAAAGCCCAAAACAGUCUAAAAAAGCCCAAAACAGCUCAAAAAAACCCAAAAAAACCAAUAAUACAGGUUUUUCGGUUUUUCUGUUAAAAAAACCGAACCGAACCGAAACCGGUUCGGUUCCGGUUUGAAUUUUUAAGUUUUUUAAAUUUUGAUUUUGGUUAGUUUUUUAAAGAAAAACCGAAUCGAACCGAAAAUGAUCAUCCCUACGAACAUGUGUGUGUAUGAACAUAUGAGACCUUGAGAUCGAUGAAAUUAGAAGAAAAGGUCUUUGUUUAUCAAGUCAAUUAAUAAUAAGAAAGGAAAUAACUAUACUUUUUUUCUGAUUAGACCAGAGUGACAUCCAGCCAAGAAGGACUAGCAUAUGAACUUGUUGAAACAUGUAUAAUGAUUUUAUAAUUUUAAAGAUAAAAAAUCCAUAACAAAUAGUUUGGUAUACGUGCUGAAGCACAUGGAUUGUAAAAAACGAUGCAGAUUAAGUUAUCGUAAAGGAUUAUAUCAAUUUUAUUUAGAUUUUAGUACUUGUCACUUGAUAUAAAUAAAUUGCUUGCAAUUAAUUAAUUUUUUAGUAUCCCAAUAACAUCAUCUUAAUUAAUCACACUAUUAAUCAAGGUCUAUGAGCCAAAUAAACAAAUUCAAGCCUACGCUCAAGAUCUUUCCAGGGCUCAAACUGAGCGAGCAUGCGUUUAUAGUUUAAGAACAAAACCCACUUUUCCUAGGUCCUCCUCCGGUCCUCCCUAUCAAAAGCUUUAGUGUUCUAUAAGCUUAUUUUCAAGUGUUUAACUUCCCACUAAAUAAGUUACAGGAAAAUCUAAUAUUCUUUUAACAUGGAAUAAAAAAUUUUGGAUUUCAUGAAAAUAUGUCAAUUAAAUUUUUUUUUCUUAUAUCAUUUCUUAUUUAAUCAUAAUUUAUUUUAAUUAUAUUCAUAUUUUAUGUUAAAGAACUUUUCUCAUAGUAUAAAUUUUUUAAACUUUGAACCUUUAUUAGUAAUAUGCCACCAAAUUUAACAUAAUAUCUUGAACUAAAUAAUAUUCACAUAAUUGUUUUCCUAAAUAUUUUUCUUUGGUUUUCACUAUUAAAUUAAUUUUGAUCUUAAGCAAUUUUUUCAAAUUGCUUUAGAGAAUUCAACAUUUUAUAAAUUCUUAAUGAAACAAUCAUAUUUCUCAUUCAUAUAAAUAAUUAUAUGUUAAAAGUAUUUUGCUAUACCAUACUUAGUAUAUAAAUAAAUAAAAAUCAUUAAAAGUACAAUUCAUCAUCAUUUAUCAAGCUACAAUUAUCAUCUUUUCCGUCAUAUAAAUAUAUAUGAAAUGAUAAUUUUUUAAUGCUAUUUAGAAUAUUAUAUAACUAUUUUUUUCCUUUUGAAUCGAGAUCUAGAUCUCCAGUCAACUAAAAAAAAAGCAUCCACAAUUAGUCAGUCAAUUUGCUAGCCUGUGUAUAAACACGCGCCCUCUGAGUCCAUUCCACUGCUAAACUCAUCACUUCAAUUUUUUCAGUAUGGAAAGCUGGUUCCUUAUCCUUGUCUCCAUUUCCAUCUCUCUCUUCUUGAAAAUUAUCUUCAACAACUUCUUAACCACUAAGAACCUACCUCCAGGUCCCCUAUCCUUUCCUUUCAUCGGCCACUUACUAUGGCUCCGCAUGUCCACCUUCAAGAUAGAGCCAAUCCUUCGAUCCCUCCAUGCCAAGUUUGGCCCCAUGGUUACCCUCCGUAUUGGCACUCGCCCUGCUAUCUUCGUUGCAGAUCGCACCCUUGCUCACGAGGCUUUAAUACGUGGCGGCGCUGUUUUUGCGGACCGCCCACCGGCUGUUGCUACGAGAAAAUUUUUAACUAGUAAUCAGCAUAAUAUUAGUUCUUCCUUUUACGGUCCAACAUGGCGACUUCUGCGGCGUAACCUCACGGCGGAAAUCCUCCACCUAUCGCGUGUGAAAUCUUACACUCAUGCACGCAACUGGGUUCUGCAAAUCCUCCAGAAUCGCUUCGAAUCUCAAUCGAAAGCCGGUCGUCCUGUUUGUGUAAUGGAACAUUUUCAAUAUGCCAUGUUUUGUCUACUAGUCCUGAUGUGUUUUGGAGACAAGCUUGAUGAAAAUCAGAUAAAAAAAAUUAUGGAAGUUCAGCGACAAAUUAUAGUGAAUUUAAGUAAGUUCGACAUACUCAAUUUCUGGCCAGGAGUGACAAAGAUCGUGUUGCGCAACCGUUGGAGGGAGUUGUUUUCCCAUCGAAAAUGCCAAGAAGAUGUCUUGAUUCCAUUGAUAAGAGCAAGAAAGAAGGUCAAGGAAGAGAGGGUAAAAAAAAGUAAAGAGGACAAGAAAGACUAUGAAGAUGAGUAUGUUUUGUGCUAUGUUGACACCAUACUGGCUUUGGAGCUUCCGGAAGAGAAAAGAAAGUUCAACGAAGAGGAAAUGGUCAGUCUGUGCUCAGAGUUUCUCAACGCAGGAACAGAUUCUACUUCGACAGCGUUG